GACGAACGCUGGCGGCGUGCUUAACACAUGCAAGUCGAACGGAAAGGCCCUGCUUUUGUGGGGUGCUCGAGUGGCGAACGGGUGAGUAACACGUGAGUAACCUGCCCUUGACUUUGGGAUAACUUCAGGAAACUGGGGCUAAUACCGGAUAGGAGCUCCUGCUGCAUGGUGGGGGUUGGAAAGUUUCGGCGGUUGGGGAUGGACUCGCGGCUUAUCAGCUUGUUGGUGGGGUAGUUGCUUACCAAGGCUUUGACGGGUAGCCGGCAUGAGAGGGUGACCGGCGACAUUGGGACUGAGAGACGGACAAGAAGCCAACGGGAGGGAGCAGUGGGGAAUAUUGAAAAAUGGGAGGAAGCAUGAUGAAGAAACGCGGCGAGCGGGAUGAAGGCCUUCGGGUUGUAAACAGAUUUCGCCUGUGAAGAAGAGUGAGUGACGGUAAUGGGUAAAGAAGCACCGGCUAACUACGUG
rnacentral:rRNA from 1 species